UACGUAGGGGCCUAGCGUUAUCCGGAAUGAUUGGGCGUAAAGCGUCCGCAGGUGGCUGUGUAAGUCUGCUGUCAAAGAGCAAAGCUCAACUUUGUAAAGGCAGUGGAAACUACACGGCUAGAGUGCGUUCGGGGCAGAGGGAAUUCCUGGUGUAGCGGUGAAAUGCGUAGAGAUCAGGAAGAACACCGGUGGCGAAGGCGCUCUGCUAGGCCGCAACUGACACUGAGGGACGAAAGCUAGGGGAGCGAAUGGG
rnacentral:rRNA from 1 species